GGCUGUGCUCUGGGAUGAGGGCUGCCAGGAGGCUGUUCCUGCACAAGGCCCUUUGCCCGCCACAGCCCACAGUUCCCACUCAUUUCUGCCCCACAGUCCAUGCUGCUCCUGGCCCCAAAGCUGAACGAGGCCAACCUCAAUGUGGAGCUGAUGAAGCACUUUGCACGGCUACAGGCCAAGGAUGAACAGGGCCCCAUCCGCUGCAACACCACGGUCUGCCUGGGCAAAAUCGGCUCCUACCUCAGUGCUAGCACCAGACACAGGGUCCUUACCUCUGCCUUCAGCCGAGCCACUAAGGACCCGUUUGCACCAUCCCGGGUUGCGGGUGUCCUGGGCUUUGCUGCCACCCACAACCUCUACUCAAUGAACGACUGUGCCCACAAGAUCCUGCCUGUGCUCUGCGGUCUCACUGUAGAUCCUGAGAAAUCUGUGCGAGACCAGGCCUUCAAGGCCAUUCGGAGCUUCCUGUCCAAAUUGGAGUCUGUGUCGGAGGACCCGACCCAGCUGGAGGAAGUGGAGAAGGAUGUCCAUGCAGCCUCCAGCCCUGGCAUGGGAGGAGCCGCAGCCAGCUGGGCAGGCUGGGCCGUGACCGGGGUCUCCUCACUCACCUCCAAGCUGAUCCGUUCGCACCCAACCACUGCCCCCACAGAAACCAACAUUCCCCAAAGACCCACGCCUGAAGGAGUUCCUGCCCCGGCCCCACCCUGUUCCUGCCGCCCCUACCACCUCAGGCCACUGGGAGACGCAGGAUGAGGACAAGGACACAGCAGAGGACAGCAGCGCUGCUGACAGAUGGGACGACGAAGACUGGGGCAGCC
rnacentral:sRNA from 1 species